GGCCUCUGGUAACAGCAGGCCGCAUGGCAAGCCUCAUCGGGAGCAAGGCCAAGCAGAUGGCGGUAAGGGCUGCUCGCCCAUGUCAUCGGGUAGGCUGCUAGAGCCUGACGGCAACGUCAGGUCGAGAUGGAUGGCCAUCCGUGCCGCGCGUUCGUGUACGGCAUGACAGAACCCGGGGUAUAAGAGGUCUCAUUUA
rnacentral:RNase_P_RNA from 1 species